UACGAAGGGGGCUAGCGUUGUUCGGAAUUACUGGGCGUAAAGGGCGCGUAGGCGGUGUGUCAAGUCAGGCGUGAAAGCCCCGGGCUCAACCUGGGAACAGCGCUUGAGACUGGCACGCUCGAGUUCGGGAGAGGAUGGUGGAAUUCCCAGUGUAGAGGUGAAAUUCGUAGAUAUUGGGAAGAACACCGAUGGCGAAGGCAGCCAUCUGGACCGACACUGACGCUGAGGCGCGAAAGCGUGGGGAGCGAACAGG
rnacentral:rRNA from 1 species